rnacentral:rRNA from 1 species
GAUAAACGCUGGCGGCGUGCCUAAUACAUGCAAGUCGAGCGAACGGACGAGAAGCUUGCUUCUCUGAUGUUAGCGGCGGACGGGUGAGUAACACGUGGAUAACCUACCUAUAAGACUGGGAUAACUUCGGGAAACCGGAGCUAAUACCGGAUAAUAUUUUGAACCGCAUGGUUCAAAAGUGAAAGACGGUCUUGCUGUCACUUAUAGAUGGAUCCGCGCUGCAUUAGCUAGUUGGUAAGGUAACGGCUUACCAAGGCAACGAUGCAUAGCCGACCUGAGAGGGUGAUCGGCCACACUGGAACUGAGACACGGUCCAGACUCCUACGGGAGGCAGCAGUAGGGAAUCUUCCGCAAUGGGCGAAAGCCUGACGGAGCAACGCCGCGUGAGUGAUGAAGGUCUUCGGAUCGUAAAACUCUGUUAUUAGGGAAGAACAUAUGUGUAAGUAACUGUGCACAUCUUGACGGUACCUAAUCAGAAAGCCACGGCUAACUACGUGCCAGCAGCCGCGGUAAUACGUAGGUGGCAAGCGUUAUCCGGAAUUAUUGGGCGUAAAGCGCGCGUAGGCGGUUUUUUAAGUCUGAUGUGAAAGCCCACGACUCAACCGUGGAGGGUCAUUGGAAACUGGAAAACUUGAGUGCAGAAGAGGAAAGUGGAAUUCCAUGUGUAGCGGUGAAAUGCGCAGAGAUAUGGAGGAACACCAGUGGCGAAGGCGACUUUCUGGUCUGUAACUGACGCUGAUGUGCGAAAGCGUGGGGAUCAAACAGGAUUAGAUACCCUGGUAGUCCACGCCGUAAACGAUGAGUGCUAAGUGUUAGGGGGUUUCCGCCCCUUAGUGCUGCAGCUAACGCAUUAAGCACUCCGCCUGGGGAGUACGACCGCAAGGUUGAAACUCAAAGGAAUUGACGGGGACCCGCACAAGCGGUGGAGCAUGUGGUUUAAUUCGAAGCAACGCGAAGAACCUUACCAAAUCUUGACAUCCUUUGACAACUCUAGAGAUAGAGCCUUCCCCUUCGGGGGACAAAGUGACAGGUGGUGCAUGGUUGUCGUCAGCUCGUGUCGUGAGAUGUUGGGUUAAGUCCCGCAACGAGCGCAACCCUUAAGCUUAGUUGCCAUCAUUAAGUUGGGCACUCUAAGUUGACUGCCGGUGACAAACCGGAGGAAGGUGGGGAUGACGUCAAAUCAUCAUGCCCCUUAUGAUUUGGGCUACACACGUGCUACAAUGGACAAUACAAAGGGCAGCGAAACCGCGAGGUCAAGCAAAUCCCAUAAAGUUGUUCUCAGUUCGGAUUGUAGUCUGCAACUCGACUACAUGAAGCUGGAAUCGCUAGUAAUCGUAGAUCAGCAUGCUACGGUGAAUACGUUCCCGGGUCU